UGAGAGAAUUAAGGCUGUCCUCGCUGUCC
rnacentral:piRNA from 1 species